GAUGAACGCUGGCGGCGUGCUUAACACAUGCAAGUCGAACGGUGAACGAGGGAGCUUGCUCCCUCCGGAUCAGUGGCGAACGGGUGAGUAACACGUGAGCAAUCUGCCCCGAACUCUGGGAUAAGCGCCGGAAACGGCGUCUAAUACCGGAUACGACGCGCGAAGGCAUCUUCUGCGCGUGGAAAGAAUUUCGGUUCGGGAUGAGCUCGCGGCCUAUCAGCUAGUUGGUGAGGUAACGGCUCACCAAGGCGACGACGGGUAGCCGGCCUGAGAGGGUGACCGGCCACACCGGGACUGAGACACGGCCCAGACUCCUACGGGAGGCAGCAGUGGGGAAUAUUGCACAAUGGGCGCAAGCCUGAUGCAGCAACGCCGCGUGAGGGACGACGGCCUUCGGGUUGUAAACCUCUUUUAGUAGGGAAGAAGCGAAAGUGACGGUACCUGCAGAAAAAGCACCGGCUAACUACGUGCCAGCCGCCGCAGUAAAAC
rnacentral:rRNA from 1 species